GAAAUGCGAUAAGUAAUGUGAAUUGCAGAAUUCAGUGAAUCAUCGAAUCUUUGAACGCACCUUGCGCUCCUUGGUAUUCCUCGGAGCAUGCCUGUUUGAGUAUCAUGAAAUCUUCAAAGUAAAUCUUUUGUUAACUCAAUUGGUUUCUACUUUGGUAUUGGAGGUCUUUGCAGCUUCACACCUGCUCCUCUUUGUUCAUUAGCUGGAUCUCAGUGUUAUGCUUGGUUCCACUCGGCGUGAUAAGUUAUCUAUCGCUGAGGACACUGUAAAAGGUGGCCAAGGUAAAUGCAGAUGAACCGCUUCUAAUAGUCCAUUGACUUGGACAAUACUUUUAUGAUCUGAUCUCAAAUCAGGUAGGAAUACCCGCUGAACUUAAGC
rnacentral:misc_RNA from 1 species